AGGCGGUGGGUUGUAGCCCCGAAGACAGAGGUUUGAGUCCUCUCCCUACCA
rnacentral:tRNA from 1 species